GGACUACCCGGGUAUCUAAUCCUGUUUGCUCCCCUUGCUCUCGCGCCUCAGCGUCAGGCAUAAGCUAGAAAACCGCUUUCGCCACAGGUGUUCUUCCACAUAUCUACGCAUUUCACCGCUACACGUGGAAUUCCAUUUUCUCCGCCAAUCCUCCAGAUCAGUAGUUUCGAAUGCCGCUCCAAAGUUGAGCUUUGGAAUUUCACAUUCGACUUACUAACCCGCCUACGCGCCCUUUACGCCCAAUAAUUCCGAUUAAUGCUUGCACCCUCCGUAUUACCGCGGCGGCUGGCAC
rnacentral:rRNA from 1 species